rnacentral:rRNA from 1 species
UACGGAGGGUGCGAGCGUUGUCCGGAAUCACUGGGCGUAAAGGGUGCGUAGGUGGCGCUGUAAGUCGGGUGUGAAAUCCUGAGGCUUAACCUCGGAACUGCAUUCGAUACUGCGGCGCUUGAGGACUGGAGAGGAGACUGGAAUUCAUGGUGUAGCAGUGAAAUGCGUAGAUAUCAGGUGGAACACCAGUGGCGAAGGCGGCUUUCUGGACGGUAACUGACGCUGAGACGCGAAAGCGUGGGGAGCAAACAGG